rnacentral:rRNA from 1 species
AUUGAACGCUGGCGGCAGGCCUAACACAUGCAAGUCGAACGAGUGGCGGACGGGUGAGUAAUGUCUGGGCACCUGCCUGAUGGAGGGGGAUAACUACUGGAAACGUUAGCUACUACCGCAUACCAUCGGAUGUGCCCAGAUGGGAUUAGCUAGUUGGUGGGGUAACGGCUCACCUAGGCGACGAUCCCUAGCUGGUCUGAGAGGAUGACCAGCCACACUGGAACUGAGACACGGUCCAGACUCCUACGGGAGGCAGCAGUGGGGAAUAUUGCACAAUGGGCGAAAGUCUGAUGCAGCCAUGCCGCGUGUAUGAAGAAGGCCUUCGGGUUGUAAAGUACUGUCGUCGGGGAGGCGGUACCCGAAGAGGAAGCAACGGCUAACUCCGUGCCAGCAGCCGCGGUAAUUC